rnacentral:rRNA from 1 species
UACGUAGGGUGCAAGCGUUGUCCGGAAUUAUUGGGCGUAAAGAGCUCGUAGGCGGUUUGUCGCGUCGGCUGUGAAAACCUGAGGCUCAACCUCGGGCCUGCAGUCGAUACGGGCAAACUAGAGUUCGGUAGGGGAGACUGGAAUUCCUGGUGUAGCGGUGGAAUGCGCAGAUAUCAGGAGGAACACCGGUGGCGAAGGCGGGUCUCUGGGACGGUACUGACGCUGAGACGCGAAAGCGUGGGGAGCGAACAGG